rnacentral:rRNA from 1 species
UACAGAGGGUGCAAGCGUUGUUCGGAAUUAUUGGGCGUAAAGAGCUCGUAGGCGGUCUGUCGCGUCGGAUGUGAAAAUCCAGGGCUCAACCCUGGACCUGCAUUCGAUACGGGCAGACUAGAGUUCGGCAGGGGGGACUGGAAUUCCUGGUGUAGCGGUGAAAUGCGCAGAUAUCAGGAGGAACACCGGUGGCGAAGGCGGGUCUCUGGGCCGAUACUGACGCUGAGGAGCGAAAGCGUGGGGAGCAAACAGG